rnacentral:rRNA from 1 species
UCCUACGGGGGGCAGCAGUAGGGAAUCUUCCACAAUGGGCGAAAGCCUGAUGGAGCAACGCCGCGUGGGUGAAGAAGGUCUUCGGAUCGUAAAACCCUGUUGUUAGAGAAGAAAGUGCGUGAGAGUAACUGUUCACGUUUCGACGGUAUCUAACCAGAAAGCCACGGCUAACUACGUGCCAGCAGCCGCGGUAAUACGUAGGUGGCAAGCGUUAUCCGGAUUUAUUGGGGGUAAAGGGAAGGCAGGCGGUCUUUUAAGUUUGAUGUGAAAGUCUUGGGGUUAAACGGAGUAGUGAAUUGGAAAAU